GCCAGAGUAGCUCAGCUGGUUAGAGCGCCGCACUCAUAACGCGGAGGUCGGCGGUUCAAGUCCGCCCUUUGGUACCA
rnacentral:tRNA from 2 species